GGGGAAUUAGCUCAGUUGGUAGAGCAUCACGCUUGCACCGUGAGGGUCAGGAGUUCGAGUCUCCUAUUCUCCA
rnacentral:tRNA from 1 species